rnacentral:rRNA from 1 species
UAGGGAAUCUUCGGCAAUGGGGGGAACCCUGACCGAGCAACGCCGCGUGAGUGAAGAAGGUUUUCGGAUCGUAAAGCUCUGUUGUUAAGGAAGAACGAGUGUGAGAAUGGAAAGUUCAUGCUGUGACGGUACUUAACCAGAAAGGGACGGCUAACUACGUGCCAGCAGCCGCGGUAAUACGUAGGUGGCAAGCGUUGUCCGGAUUUAUUGGGCGUAAAGCGAGCGCAGGCGGUCAAUUAAGUCUGAUGUGAAAGCCCCCGGCUCAACCGGGGAGAGUCAUUGGAAACUGGUUGACUUGAGUGCAGAAGAGGAGAGUGGAAUUCCAUGUGUAGCGGUGAAAUGCGUAGAUAUAUGGAGGAACACCAGUGGCGAAGGCGACUCUCUGGUCUGUAACUGACGCUGAGGCUCGAAAGCGUGGGUAGCAAACAGG